AAAGGGUGCGUAGGCGGCCUGUUAAGUCAGGGGUGAAAGACGGUAGCUCAACUAUCGCAGUGCCCUUGAUACUGAUGGGCUUGAAUGGACUAGAGGUAGGCGGAAUGAGACAAGUAGCGGUGAAAUGCAUAGAUAUGUCUCAGAACACCGAUUGCGAAGGCAGCUUACUAUGGUCCUAUUGACGCUGAGGCACGAAAGCGUGGGGAUCAAACAGGAUUAGAUACCCGUGU
rnacentral:rRNA from 1 species